CCCGUCAUCAACGUCACGGAUUAAGGAGUCACGUGACCGGUAAAGGAGGCCGUGUAGAAGACCUUUGGUCAAUGGAAUAAAACGGAAAAAUGUAUCAACCGAACCAAAGCGUGGAAGUCUGUUUUCUCUACACCUGCUGAACGCCAGGUACCACAUACCUUCAUUAAAAUCAGACAAGAAACAGGAGAGGUGACAAAAAGGUGACAUGUGGCCUGAGUUCCUCCUGUGUGAAGGAAAAACAUCACAUUCAACCACAUCCCUGCAUCAAGAAGAGUGUGUUCUGUCUGUUUUCAUUCGCAUAGCUGGCAUAGCAUCCCAGGUGUUCCCUAGGAUAAACUCCGGAUCCACCCCUCCCCUGGCCAGUAUAAAGCACUUACUGAAGAUAAAUGAAUGAAUAUCAUAAUCCGUUUUUAUUGUAAGGUACAGAGCUCCUGUUGAGAAUGAAAACCGCAGGUGAGCAGGAGGAGAGGCUGCUAGGGCAUGUUCAAAAGAUGAUCAUUAAGAUAAAUAUGCAAAAUGCUUCCUGGGAAAGGGAUGGCUUCUAAGUUUUGUUUUGAAGCACUUUAACGGCUUGCUUUAUUCCUGUGGCAGGGAGG
ensembl:lncRNA